rnacentral:tRNA from 2 species
AAGGGAGACCUAAUUCCGGUAGGAGACGAAAAAAAAGUAGUCCCUACCAAGAAUCAAUCCCAAAAGGUCGGAACGAGGUAUGAGGCUUUCAAACUAGGUUCUGGGUUCAUAAAAGACCUGAAUCAGGAACAAGGGCUAUUAGCUCAGGUGGUUAGAGCGCACCCCUGAUAAGGGUGAGGUCCCUGGUUCGAGUCCAGGAUGGCCCACCUGCACAGGUGGCAAAAACAAGAGAAGCUCCGAAUCAGCACCUUAUCUUAUAUACAUAUAUAAGAGAGAAUGCUGGCUCUGAGUACAGAGUCCAGAGGAACCUUGAAAACUGCAUAGAGCUAGGUGAAAAAGCCAAAAAAGAAGACCGCAA